rnacentral:rRNA from 1 species
GACGAACGCUGGCGGCGUGCCUAUUACAUGCAAGUAGAACGCACAGUUUAUACCGUAGCUUGCUACACCAUAAACUGUGAGUUGCGAACGGGUGAGUAACGCGUAGGUAACCUGCCUGGUAGCGGGGGAUAACUAUUGGAAACGAUAGCUAAUACCGCAUAAUAUUGAUUAUUGCAUGAUAAUUGAUUGAAAGAUGCUAUUGCAUCACUACCAGAUGGACCUGCGUUGUAUUAGCUAGUAGGUGAGGUAACGGCUCACCUAGGCGACGAUACAUAGCCGACCUGAGAGGGUGAUCGGCCACACUGGGACUGAGACACGGCCCAGACUCCUACGGGAGGCAGCAGUAGGGAAUCUUCGGCAAUGGACGAAAGUCUGACCGAGCAACGCCGCGUGAGUGAAGAAGGUUUUCGGAUCGUAAAGCUCUGUUGUAAGAGAAGAACGGGUGUGAGAGUGGAAAGUUCACACUGUGACGGUAUCUUACCAGAAAGGGACGGCUAACUACGUG